rnacentral:sRNA from 1 species
UCACAAAUUUCAUUUUCACACUUGUGGGAGUCUGGCUUGUUGAGAAAGUGGGCCGCAGAAAGCUUACCUUUGGUAGUUUAGCAGGUACCACUGUAGCACUCAUUAUUCUUGCCUUGGGAUUUGUGCUAUCAGCCCAAGUUUCCCCACGCAUCACUUUUAAGCCAAUAGCUCCGUCAGGUCAGAACGCCACUUGCACAAGAUACAGUUACUGUAAUGAAUGUAUGUUGGAUCCAGACUGCGGUUUCUGCUACAAGAUGAACAAAUCAACUGUCAUUGACUCCUCCUGUGUUCCAGUUAAUAAAGCAUCUACAAAUGAGGCAGCCUGGGGCAGGUAUAUCACUCAUUUUACCAUACGAAUAUAUAAUAAUAUUUCAAAAUGAGGCUUAUGUUUAAGUUUUCAGAGUGCUUGCACUUCUAGCAGUUCUUUUAAACUGGCCUUCAUAACUACAUUGCUUUACAGCAUAUACUGGUGAUAGUGGAUGCAAAGCAUUGCAAUUGUGUGUUUCACACAGAGUAGAAAGCACUCAGGCCUAGACUUUGGAGACCCAGAUUUCUCUAAUAAGGUAUAGGAGUUUGGAUCUUUAGUUUUAGGCAGCUAUUCACAAAUACUGCCAAGGCAAUUUCUCCCACUGCAUAUUGUUUAACUGCACUGUAUUUCCAAACUCCCAAGCUUUUAAAUGAAAGAAAACUGUAAAGUCAAAAUGAAUUACUAUCACAUUAGGCCGGGCACAGUGCAUCACGACUGUAAUCCCAGCACUUUGGGAGGCUGAGGCAGGCAGAUCACUUGAGGUCAGGAGUUCGAGACCAUACUGGCCAACAUGGUGAAACCCCAUCUCUACAAAAAUACAAAAAUUAGCUGAGAGUGGUGGCACAUGCCUGUAAUCCCAGCUGCUCAGGAGGCUGAGGCAGGAGAAUCACUUGAACCUGGGAGAUAGAGAUUGCAGUGAGCUGAGAUCAAACCACUGCACUCCAGCCUGGACAACAGAGCGAGACUCUGCCUCAAAAAAAAA